GCUGCCCUUUCCCUGCAUGGACCCACCUCCCGAAGGCAACCGGCCACCUCACGCGUAAGUCCUUUUUUUCUCUUUUAGGGUUUUUCUCCUUUUCUUUUUCUUUCUUUCUCUUUCUACAGAAGCCGAUCUACACCCUAGAGAUGCUCUGAUACCAAUGUUGAAUCCCUAGGAUCAUCUAGGUGCAAAUCUAGCCCGGUAGAUUAGGCUUUAUGUGUAAACUUCUUGGUUCGGGUAUGGGGAUCGAGUGCGUGUGUGUGAGAGAGAGUACCUUCUCCUUGGCUAGAAGAUCCCGACAUGGUCGUCAUGGUCGGCGAGGAGAGAGCGACGGCCGGCGUCGGGUGAUGCCGUGGCAGGUCUUCCCGUCGCUGUCUGCGCCUCUCUUUUAGAUCAGGUUAGGUUUGUCGGUGGGGUGGUGGCUACGCAGACGAACCUCGUAGUGCGUGCUCCGACCCCCCACCUCUUUAUAUAGCGCAGCGUGACAGAGACCCGCCAACCAUAUUGGGUUGGGCGCGUCAGAUCUAGGCCUGGUGAGCCGUUGGGCCCACACGGUAGGAGAUCACUGUAACAAAUACUACUAUGUCGAUUAAUUCUUACUGCAUUGUUUAGGUGUCACAUUACAUAGCAAGCAAGAGUAGUUGUUAUCUGUAUCGAUCGAUCUUGCUAUGCUGUAGGUAAGUUCCAAUAGCAAGCAAACACUAGCUUGUCCGCGUGGCACGAAAAUAACGAUAACCUUACCAC
rnacentral:lncRNA from 1 species